rnacentral:rRNA from 1 species
GACGAACGCUGGCGGCGUGCUUAACACAUGCAAGUCGAACGGGCCCGCUCUCUUUUUUGGGGGUGGGUUGAGUGGCGAACGGGUGAGUAUCACGUGAGUAACCUGCCCCCUGCUCCUGGAUAACUGCUUGAAAGGGCGGCUAAUACGGGGUGUGCCGGCUGGUCCGCAUGGGCCUGGUCGGGAUAGUUUCAUCUUCGGGUGUUUCGGUGGGGGAUGGGCUCGCGGCCUAUCAGCUUGUUGGGGGGGUGAUGGCCCACCAAGGCGGUGACGGGUAGCCGGCCUGAGAGGGUGGGCGGCCACACUGGGACUGAGACACGGCCCAGACUCCUGCGGGAGGCAGCAGUGGGGGGUAUUGCGCAAUGGGCGGAAGCCUGAUGCAGCGACGUCGCGUGAGGGAUGGAGGCCUUCGGGUUGUGAACCUCUUUCUCCGGUGGUGAAGGCCCUGUCCGUUGCGGCGGGGUUGACGGUAGCCGGGUAUGAAGCGCCGGCUAACUACGUG